GUUGGGUGUGGUGGCACAUGCCUGUAAUCCUAGCAGCUUAGGAGGCUGAGGCAGGAGGAUCGCAAGUUCAAAGUCAGCCUCAGCAACCACGAGGUGCUAAGCAACUUAGUGAGACCCUGUCUCUA
rnacentral:sRNA from 1 species